UAACCGCUGAAAGCAUCUAAGCGGGAAGCCCCCUUCGAGACGAGAUUUCCCUUAGGACUUGAUCCUACUAAAGUGCCGUUCAAGACGAGGACGUUGAUAGGCUGGGUGUGUAAGCGUUGUGAGGCGUUGAGCUAACCAGUACUAAUUGCACGUGAGGCUUGACCAUAUAAUCAUGGGUU
rnacentral:rRNA from 1 species